CAGGUUUUAAGGACAUCGAUGUAGAGACUUCGACAAAGCCACCCAGAAACCCAUUGCCGAUUGUCAUGCUGGCAUUAGAUCAGGCGAUGAUGGAUGAACCGCUUUACAACAACAUCAACUGGUUCCGAGAAUCCAGGAAUUCUCACACCACUGGGGUCAGCGGCCGUACGUAUUGUUUGGCAUGUCCGGAGAAUUCGCUGAACCCGGCGGAGCGUCACUCGCUACACAUCCUCGCUCGCUUCUGCUGCAGUCACUGGACC